rnacentral:lncRNA from 1 species
AGGGGUGUGUGUGUGUGUAUUUGUGUCGGUUGUUUGUGCUGUUGUUUAUGAGGAAAAAAGUAAUUUUAUUUGAAAAAUGGCCAAAAAGUGAGUUCUUCCCAUUCUUGAUCUGCAUUUCAGGUGUCAACACUCCUGCAUUAAUUUUCCUUUCAGUAUGUGUGUUUCAAUUAUUAUACAUUGAUUUAAAACCACAUAUUUUCUACCCACUAUGCCUGUUUCUUUCUUUCAUUUAUGUAGAUCCAAAUUUCUAUUUUCUUUCUGUCUUGAAGAACUUCCUUUAAUCAGAUAUCUCUUUGACAUACUGAUUUCAUUUCCUUUGAACAUAUACACAAUAGUGAGCUUGCUGGAUCACAUGAUAGUUCUAGUUUUAAUUUUUUGAGGAAACUUCAUACUGUUUUCCAUAAUGGCUGUCCUAAUUUACCACCAAAAGUGUAUGAGAGUUCUCUUUUCUCCACAUCUAUACUAGCAUUUCCAAGUUUCUUAUGAGUAAAAGGAAUCCUUCACAAGUACAUUAGACCUUCUAUCAUCACACAGAACUGAAUCAGACAGAGCCUUAAAAGAUUCUUUCAUGCUUCGUUCUCCAGAACUGUGAGAAGUAAAUGGUUAUUGUGUAAGCAACUCAGUCUGUGGUAUUCUGUUAGAGGAGCCCAAACUAAGACACCUUGCUGACUAUUUAAAAUGCAACUUCCAGUAUUCCUUCUCCCUAAUUUUAUUGUCCAUUAAUAUGUUCAUCCCAAGUGAAUAAAUCAAACCCCUUCAGCUUUCAGGUCAGAAUUCUUCAAAACUCUUGGAACACCACAUCUCCACCUUCUA